CAGCUGUCAAAUGUGAUGCUAUACCUUGUCGUUCAAAUCUUACCUCUAUCUCUGUACAACGAGUUAAAUAUGGUCAGUGUAGUGAGAUUUGUGAAACUAAUCAUGCUUUUACGCCUAUCGUCGUAG
rnacentral:rRNA from 1 species